rnacentral:tRNA from 1 species
GUAGACGCUACGGACUUAAAAUCCGUUGGCUUUAUUGACCGUGAGGGUUCAAGUCCCUCUACCCCCA